GACGAACGCUGGCGGCGUGCUUAACACAUGCAAGUCGAACGGAAAGGCCCUGCUUUUGUGGGGUGCUCGAGUGGCGAACGGGUGAGUAACACGUGAGUAACCUGCCCUUGACUGUGGGAUAACUUCAGGAAACUGGGGCUAAUACCGGAUAGGAGCUCCUGCUGCAUGGUGGGGGUUGGAAAGUUUCGGCGGUUGGGGAUGGACUCGCGGCUUAUCAGCUUGUUGGUGGGGUAGUGGCUUACCAAGGCUUUGACGGGUAGCCGGCCUGAGAGGGUGACCGGCCACAUUGGGACUGAGAUACGGCCGAGACUCCUACGGGAGGCAGCAGUGGGGAAUAUUGCACAAUGGGCGGAAGCCUGAUGCAGCAACGCCGCGUGCGGGAUGACGGUCUUCGGGUUGUAAACCGCUUUCGCCUGUGACGAAGCGUGAGUGACGGUAAUGGGUACAGAAGCACCGGCUAACUACGUG
rnacentral:rRNA from 1 species